rnacentral:tRNA from 1 species
GCCUGGGUGGCUCAGUUGGUUGAGCAUCCGACUUCGGCUCAGGUCAUGAUCUCACGGUUCGUGGGUUCGAGCCCCACGUCGGGCU